AACCUGUGGCUGGUGGCAUUUAUUAGAUAGUUACCAAUCGCAUUUUGCGUGGUGAAUCUAGAUAACUGAGCAGAUCGUACGGCCUUGUGCUGACGACAUUUCGAUUGAAUUUCUGCCCUAUCAACUAUUGUCGGUAGUGUAGUGGACUACCGAGGUUUUUACGGGUGACGGGGAAUCAGGGUUCGAUUCCGGAGAGGGAGCCUGAGAAACGGCUACCACAUCCAAGGAAGGCAGCAGGCGCGCAAAUUACCCAAUCCAGACAAUGGGAGGUGGUGACGAGAAGUACCAGAUGACGGCCUAUGGCUGUCAAUCUGGAAUGGAUUCAAUUUAAGCAUUUGAUUGAGAAACUACUGGAGGGCAAGUCUGGUGCCAGCAGCCGCGGUAAUUCCAGCUCCAGUAGCGUACUUCAAAGUUGCUGCGCUUAAAACGCUCGUAGUUGGAUCACAAACUUUAUGUUGGUGGGUGUCGAUUGAGGUGUCUAAGUGAUAAACUGCUGGUGUGGCCACAUGCUGGUAAGGAGUUGGGAGAAGGAAAAUUGGCACCGUUAGCUGAGAUAGAAUAAUUGUACGUGAAGAUGGGUGUUGGCCUUGAGUGUGCUGACAUUUGUGUCUCACGGAGUGUGCCUUGAGUAAAUCAGAGUGCUUAAAGCAAGCUUUACGCUUGAAUGUUUUAGCAUGGAACGAACAAUAGUGUAUGU
rnacentral:rRNA from 1 species